rnacentral:rRNA from 1 species
AUUUAAAUAGCUGCAGUAUUUUGACUGUACAAAGGUAGCAUAAUCAUUAGUUUCUUAAUUAGAAUCUUGUAUGAAGGGUUGGACGAGAAAUAAUCUGUCUUAAUUUUAUUUUUUUUGAAUUUUAUUUUUAAGUUAAAAAGCUUAAAUGUUGUUAAAAGACGAGAAGACCCUAUAGAGUUUAAUUAAUUUAAGUAUAAUUUAAUUUAAGUAUAUAUAAAAUUUUAUGUUUAAAUUAAUUUAAUUGGGGUAGUUUAAAAAUUAAAUUAAUUUUUUAUUUUUUUUUACAUUGAUUUAUGAUUUAUUGAUCCAAUAAUUUUGAUUAAAAGAUUAAAUUACCUUAGGGAUAACAGCGUAAUUUUUUUGAAGAGUUCAAAUCGAUAAAAAAGAUUGCGACCUCGAUGUUGGAUUAAAAUUAUUUCUGGUGUAGAAGUUAGAAAAAUUAAGUCUGUUCGACUUUUAAAAUUUUACAUGAUCUGAGUUUAAAUCGGCGUGAGCCAGGUUGGUUUCUAUCUUUAAUUUAUAAUAAUAUUUUAGUACGAAAGGACCAAGUAUUUAUAAUAAUUAUUUUAUUUUGAUUAAAAUUAUUACUUUGGCAGAUUAGUGCAUUAAAUUUAGAAUUUAAAUAUGUAUUUAUACAGGUAAUAAAUGUUUGUAAUUGAUAUAGUAUUAAUAAUUAUUAGAAGUUUAAUUUUAGUAUUAUGUGUUUUAAUUGGAGUG